UACAGAGGUCCCAAGCGUUGUCCGGAUUUAUUGGGCGUAAAGAGCGUGUAGGCGGCCAAGUAGGUCCGGUGUGAAAACUCGAGGCUUAACCUCGAGAUGUCAUCGGAAACCAUUUGGCUAGAGUCCGGAAGAGGAAAGUGGAAUUCCAGGUGUAGCGGUGAAAUGCGUAGAUAUCUGGAGGAACACCGGUGGCGAAGGCGGCAUCCUGGACCAACACUGACGCUGAGUGAGCGAAAGCCAGGGGAGCAAACGGG
rnacentral:rRNA from 1 species